CAGACGGAAAAGACGGGCCUCUUCCGCCGACUCCCGAGUGCGAGUCCUGUUUGUGGCUUGUCAGCGGGCAGCGGCAGCGGCUGGAACACUCUCUCGGCUGAGGGCGGCAGCCAACUGCUGUGAGUGCACGGGGAGAGGCCCAGGCGGCGGCGGCGGCGGCAGCGGCAGCAGCAGCAGCUCUCAGGUUGCGGUGAAGAAUGUCAGCCACUAGCGUGGAUCAGAGACCUAAAGGGCAAGGAAAUAAAGUUCAUAAUUUCAUCCAUGGAUAGAACGAUGGACUGGGAUUCCCAGGAGACCUGAGUUCUAAUACUGCCUGUGGCUACUGACUUGCCAAGUGAGCUUGAAUACAUUUCGCCUUUUGGUCAGAAUUUCCCCUGUAUCUGUAAAAUGAAAGUAGUAAUUCUAACUGUAAAUCCCAUUGUAUGUUAUGAGGAUUGUUGUAACUACAGUUAGUAUAGUCCUGUUUUAGUAGCCAUUAUAUUUGCUGGAGUUUUUUCACCUCGUUCACUUCAUGUAUUUUUAAGGUACAGUAAGAGUCCAUUGCCUUAGUUACGGCAUGAGGGAAAAGCUCUACUGGCCUGAAAGUAUUGGUGAUCAUUUAAAUUGCUUUAAAAUGAUAGAUGCUACAAGUGCAUAGAUACACAUAUACAUAACUUGUAUUUUUAUGCUCCUCCAGGGAGAAUUACAAAGCAAAGGCAGCACCUCCAAUAAAUUAAUACAAGUAGCUGUGUGUGUAUUUGAGAAAAACUACUCUGCUGUAGCUAACUUGGUUUUCAGCCAAGUAAAAUUGUUUUAUAAUUAUUCUGUUUACUUUUAUUAGCAGAAAGCAAAGUUAUUUUCCUUAAACAUUCCAAGAGUGUGAGUAGUAAACUUGAAUUCAGAACUUACCAAGCUUUAUGAAGAAUACGUGUCCCUGAAAGUUGGUGUCAUUAAACUUUUCAAAGUGUAGUCUUCUCAGUUGAUUUAAUGUAAUUUUAGAGAUGCUGUAUUUUUUAUUCUUUUAUUUUUUCUGAAUUAUCUUUAGUUGGCAAUAGUAGCGUAGCGCCUGGCUUCUUUAGUGUCUUUGAUUUUCUGCUGAGGGGUUUUUCUGUAUGUAUUAAUGACUUAAAUGCACUAAAGGAGCUAUAAUUUGAAAGGAAUUCUAUAUGGAUCUCUUUGGAAAGCAAAACCCUAUUGUAAUCAAAAUAUCCUAGGUUUACUUGUUUAUAAAUUUGAAUUCUUUUUUAAUUUAUAGAUUGAUCCUCUGUUAAAUAUCAACCCCUUUUUCUAUCCUUUGCAAGGUUGGUAUAGUAGAAAUUUAAGGAUAAUUUUUUUUAUCUCUUGAUGCAUAAUUUAGUAUUGGCUUUAUGUCAAUUUUACUUAUUUAUUAAGAAGUGGAAAAUUUGCUUGCUGGAAUAAAAGUGUGUUAUUCCUUUUCCUGAGGACACCAUGGAUGGAAGUGUCAGAUCCCAUUCUCCCUGUAGUCUUAGUCCUUGCUGUUUGCUUUCCCCUAUCCCUUAACUUUAUAAAUAGGCAAAUAUAUGGAAAAGAGUUUAUCUUUUCUCUCUUCUUGCCCCUUCACCUUUUAAUAUAGGGAUAUGUGCAUCGUUUUACAUAACUACAAAUUAAAAGAAUUAGCUUGAAUUUGGCUAGUUUUAAUGUUUCAGAAAAGUAGUGGAAACUGCCUUGCAUUUUGGCAAUAUUCUGUUGUAUCCUCUCCCCACUCCCCAACCCCAGAAAUUAUUUCAAAGCACUUUACUGUCAUUAUUUUAGGCUUCAUUUUUAUUAUUAAUCCUCAAAACAUUCGUAUAAGGAGAUAGAGGGUAUAUGGUAUUGUCGCUGUUUUUGUAGGUGGGAAAACAUGAUGCACAGAUCUGUUGACUUUCCUAACUUGAUGUAGUCAGGACCAGAGCAAAGAAUCACCUGGCUCCUAAGGCCCAUGUUCUAUCUUGAUUUGACUCUGCUUCAUAGAGCAGAGGAAACAGGCGAAGAAUCAUUUUCAGUACAAAACGGUUCGAUUCAUCAAAAAGAUGCUGUAAAUGAUGAUGAUUUUGAGCCAUACUUAAGUAGCCAGACAAAUCAGAAUAACAGCUAUCCACCAAUGUCAGAUCCAUAUAUGCCUAGCUACUAUGCUCCAUCCAUUGGAUUUCCAUAUUCUCUUGGUGAAGCAGCAUGGUCCACGGCUGGAGACCAACCUAUGCCAUAUCUGACAACCUAUGGACAAAUGAGUAAUGGAGAACAUCAUUAUAUACCAGAUGGUGUAUUUAGUCAACCUGGGGCAUUAGGAAAUACCCCUCCAUUUCUUGGUCAACAUGGAUUUAACUUUUUUCCUGGUAAUGCUGAUUUCUCUACAUGGGGGACAAGUGGAUCUCAGGGACAAUCAACACAAAGUUCUGCUUAUAGUAGCAGUUAUGGCUAUCCACCUAGUUCUCUUGGGAGAGCUAUUACUGAUGGACAGGCUGGAUUUGGCAGUGAUACUUUGAGUAAGGUGCCUGGUAUUAGCAGUAUUGAGCAAGGUAUGACUGGACUGAAAAUUGGUGGUGACCUGACAGCUGCAGUGACAAAAACUGUAGGUACAGCCUUGAGCGGCACUGGUAUGACUAGCAUUGCAACCAAUAGUGUGCCCCCAGUAAGCAGUGCAGCACCUAAACCAACCUCCUGGGCUGCCAUUGCCAGAAAGCCUGCCAAACCUCAACCGAAACUUAAACCCAAGGGCAAUGUGGGAAUUGGGGGUUCUGCUGUGCCACCACCUCCUAUAAAACACAACAUGAAUAUUGGAACUUGGGAUGAAAAGGGGUCAGUGGUAAAGGCUCCACCAACCCAACCAGUUCUGCCUCCUCAGACUAUAAUCCAGCAGCCUCAGCCAUUAAUACAACCACCCCCAUUGGUGCAAAGCCAACUGCCUCAACAGCAGCCUCAGCCACCACAACCACAGCAGCAACAAGGACCUCAGCCACAGGCCCAGCCUCACCAAGUGCAGCCCCAGCAGCAACAGCUGCAGAAUCGCUGGGUAGCUCCUCGUAACAGGGGAGCAGGCUUCAACCAGAGCAAUGGAGCAGGCAACGAAAACUUUGGUUUAGGUGUUGUUCCUGUCAGCGCUUCACCUUCUAGUGUAGAAGUGCAUCCCGUGCUGGAAAAGCUAAAGGCCAUAAACAACUAUAAUCCCAAAGACUUUGAUUGGAACCUGAAGAAUGGACGUGUGUUUAUAAUCAAAAGCUAUUCUGAAGAUGAUAUACAUCGUUCCAUUAAGUACUCUAUCUGGUGUAGUACUGAGCAUGGUAAUAAGCGUUUGGAUGCAGCUUAUCGUUCCCUGAAUGGGAAAGGGCCACUCUAUUUACUCUUCAGUGUGAAUGGUAGUGGACAUUUUUGUGGAGUGGCCGAGAUGAAGUCUGUUGUGGACUAUAACGCAUAUGCUGGUGUCUGGUCUCAGGAUAAGUGGAAGGGCAAAUUUGAAGUUAAAUGGAUCUUUGUUAAAGAUGUUCCCAAUAACCAAUUACGGCAUAUUCGUUUAGAAAAUAAUGACAACAAACCAGUUACCAAUUCAAGGGAUACGCAAGAGGUACCCCUAGAAAAAGCUAAGCAAGUGCUUAAAAUAAUUGCUACUUUCAAGCAUACCACCUCAAUCUUCGAUGACUUUGCACAUUAUGAAAAGCGUCAAGAAGAGGAGGAAGCCAUGCGUAGGAAGAUGUUUCUCUCAAUUUGUUAUCACCACCAGUCAGCUGAAUCUACCUAACACUAAUCGUACUUCUUGAGGUGAAAAGUUAUAAUGUGCUGAGUGUGAAAAUAAGGAGAGAAAUAGAAACAAACAAUAACCUUACCGAGAUAUCCUGUUAGAAUGACAACACUAAUGACGUAGACUAUGGAAAUGCCUAAUAAGUCAAAGAAGACGUUAUUAAAGCUUUUUUUCUGCUUAAGGUGACAUCUUUGAACACUUUAACACAGAGUUGACUCUUCUUGUACUGGUUUCAUCAGCGCGUCUGCCCUCAUACUCUCACCAAACACACUUGAGAACUGUAACUUCCGUCAAGCACUUUCUGUCCUGAAGCUUUUACCAGUAUCUGCUGUCUUUUGUAAUUAUGCAUCCUAGCUAAGGCACAGAAGACUGAAUGCAAGGAUUCAUUAACUCUUUGAAUUUGUUAAAUACUAACAGUUAACCAUAAGAAGUGGUUCAAUGAUGUAAGAGUCACACUGCUUCAACUUUUUCUUUGUUGUAGUUUUUAAAUUGUCAAUUUUUAGCUACUUGACAGAUUAAAAGCAAAGUAAUCAUGCCAUAUUUAGUCCUGGAGUUCAAGUCUAAAUGUUUAUGUGGAAAAUUAUUGUAGUAAACUUUUAAUAUGGCAAAGCAACCUUAAGCUCUAUUUUAGCCAAAUGAAACAUAAUCUAAAAUUAUAUUAGAACAUUUCCCUUGUCUUCAAACUGUUUGGUGUAACAAAAUAUUGAUAUGCAGCUUGGUGGAUUUCACCAGUAAUGCACAUUCUUCUCCCCUCCUUCCCCUGAUAAUAUGUAUACUGAAAAAAAUGUGCAUUUGUCUGAGGAAUUAUUUUGUUUGCUACCACUUAAUGAAUCUCAGAAUUUUGAGUAAAUGUACCUCAGUCUAACCAGACUUUUUAUGACCUUUAUAACUACAUUUAAAAACCCUUAAUUCCUAUUUCUGGGUGUUUGCGAGCCUGAUUGCUAUCAUGAAGUAAAAAUUUAUUACUCUAGAUAUUCACUAGCAAAAUAAACAUAGUUCUUGUUUAGCAAGCAUAUAUACUGUUCCUCCACUUUUUUCUCCAGCUUUUGCAGUGUCCUGGCAUCCUUAAAAUACUUUGAAAAUAUGGCCUUGAUCCAUGGAUUAAAUCAGUAUCUAAGUGAAUGUGUUGAUGUUUUAUUGAUCAGAGCUAUAUAAAUGGGAAUACAGCAUAUAUCUGGGUAUUCUUCUAGUUAUCUUUUUUUAACAUCUUAUUUUUUUCAUUAAUUACAUAUCAACAUUAAUUUUGUAUCUUGAAACAAAUUGAUUUUGUAUAAGUAAAUGUGUCAAGCAUCUGUAUUAACUGAUUUGAUGGCAUGAGGUUAUGAAGAUAAUAUACUGCCCCUUACAUUACUGUUCUAAAAGGAGAAAGCUAUGUAGAAAGAUGAUUUGUUAAGGGUGAAAAUAGCAAUACAGUAGAUCUGAAUACCUUGAUGUUUUGCAUUAUUCCACUUAUGUUUACAUCAUGUUUAGAAAUAUUUUCAUUUUCUGUGGUCUUUGGUCACUUCAGUUCAAACAAUUAGUGACAUAUUUCUUUGAGGCUUUCAUUUACAUAAUUGUUUUGUACAAUGUUUUCUUAAAGUAUGCAAAUACUAUAGUCAAGUGAAAAAAUUACAGUAUUUGGAGAUAACCAUAGCUAUUUCACAGUUCUUUGGUAGUCCCAGAGUAGUUAUAUCAGUGUUUACUGAAGGGAACAUCAAAACAUAGUAUAUUACAAAAUAAAAACUUUCUUAAAGGAAAAUUGCACCUAUUUUACCUUUUUAAGGGUUUAAGAAAUAAGCCAUGAAAUCUUGUUAAAUGUCUUUUAACUAUUUAUAAUGAAAAUCGGCAUUUGGGUAUAGUCACUACAGCAAUGUUCUACAUCCCUAAGGUUAUAUAUAUAGAGAUAGGUAGAUAGGGCAUGUCAGAGAUGACUGUUGUCAUUCUGGAAGUCCUGUUAGAGAAAACUGUAAAGGGGUGACCUUGUAGAAAGGAUCUGAGUCCUCUCCCUGAGGUUCUCUUUUUCUUGGUGCUUUAUUAGCAACUCUGAAUAUUUUUAUAAAAAUAGUUACAUUAUAAAUGGAUUUAAACUUGUUUAAUUUACAGUAAGUUUCUAUGUGAGAAGUGUCAUGGAAACUUUACCCAGCGAGCAAGCUGAUUGCAGUAGCAGACUCAGAAAUGUCAAAUGUAACUGAAUAAUCUAUUCAUUGUGAGGAGUACAUCCCAGUGCCUUUAACCUGGAUUUCUAAUCUUAAGUGAAAUGGGUGCAGCAUUCCUUUGGAAAAAACUUUGUUUUCUUUUCAGUUGAUAAUGUUGUAUUUUUCUCAUUUAAGUUUUCUCCAGAAUGCCCACCUUCUCUUCCUCCUUGUUCUGUCAAGGUAUUGCAAGACGUUUUUCCCCUAAGUGAAAUUUUCACAGGUUGUCUCAAUAGCACAACUAACUGAAUGUUUCUUUACUCCUGUAGUUACCAAAAGGGAGAGAACCUGGGUUGUACAGGAGACACAUAAGCAAAUGUUUAAAUAAUCACAAAUUGAGAAAUUAUUGGCCCAGUAAAUUUCUUGCUUAAUGUUUUUCCAAGUUCUGGUUAUGAAUGUUUCUUAUUAAACUUAUGUGGGUAUUUUAUUUUGAAAGGUAUUAUAGUUUGUAUAUUUAACAGUAAAGGGGAAAGCGUAACCAAAAUUAGUAUUCUUUCUCUAUACAUAUUGGUACUUGAAAAUUCCUUUCAAAAGAAACCCCGGCCUUUUCCUAAUUUCAAUACUUAAUUCCUUGUUUUAACUUAAGUGAUCUUUCUAAUUCUAAAGCUGUGUUCUUUUUGAAUACCAUGCAUGGGGGUUAAGCUGAUGUUAAAACAGUUUGCAAUAAAAAAAAAGAAUCAGCUUGAGUCAUUUAAUCAUUUCAAGUGCAUUUUGCAUCUUUUAAAAAUAAGUUUGAGAAAUUUAAGAGAAUUGUGUUUUCAUUAAGUUUUGCAUAUCUUUUGUUAUGCCAUGUAAAUUCCCUUCUUUUUUGUAUGUUUAAAGGGAGACUAUGAUAAAAUGAUUAGUUCAUUUACAUUCACUUGUAGCAAUUACAUGGGAAUUUGAAUUUUGUCGUGUUUGGGUUUCUUCAUUCCUGUGAAUGAUGGUACAGUUAGGUGAGAUUUUCUGUUAUGGUACCCAAACUCACCAUUUGGUCCUCUUUAAUCUUUGAGGCUUUCAAUAAAAAUUAUUCACUCAUA